GACGAACGCUGGCGGCGUGCUUAACACAUGCAAGUCGAACGGAAAGGCCCUGCUUUUGUGGGGUGCUCGAGUGGCGAACGGGUGAGUAACACGUGAGUAACCUGCCCUUGACUUUGGGAUAACUUCAGGAAACUGGGGCUAAUACCGGAUAGGAGCUCCUGCUGCAUGGUGGGGGUUGGAAAGUUUCGGCGGUUGGGGAUGGACUCGCGGCUUAUCAGCUUGUUGGUGGGGUAGUGGCUUACCAAGGCUUUGACGGGUAGCCGGCCUGUGAGGGUGACCGGCCCCAUUGGGACUGAGAUACGGCCCAGACUCCUACGGGAGGCAGCAGUGGGGAAUAUUGCACAAUGGGCGGAAGCCUGAUGCAGCAACGCCGCGUGCGGGAUGACGGCCUUCGGGUUGUAAACCGCUUUCGCCUGUGACGAAGCGUGAGUGACGGUAAUGGGUAAAGAAGCACCGGCUAACUACGUG
rnacentral:rRNA from 1 species